UUCUCCGUAGCUUAGUGGUGAGAGCACUGUUCCAGAAUCGCAGAGGCGUAGGUUCGAUUCCUUGCGGAGGAC